UACCAUACCAUGCUUUCUACAAAGCCAAGUAGCUAAAGGGACAGGGGAUUCACCGAGAAACCGUUUUAACCUCGUUUAUUGUAACACAAAUAAAUAAAUGUAAAAUUAAAAUAGGGUUCUGCAACAAUUGUCUAAGGGAUAUGUUUAGCAGUGUGUGUAUAUUUCCUUUAGUUUACAGUGUUUGUACUGUGAGAAGACCUUCAGAGACAAAAACACCCUUAAAGAUCACAUGAGAAAAAAGCAGCAUCGUAGGAUCAAUCCAAAAAACAGAGAAUAUGACCGAUUCUAUGUCAUCAAUUACUUGGUAAGUCUUGCUGCUUAUAGUUUAAAAUUUGGCUACAAUACCACAAUCAAAAUCUACCUACAAACCAACAAAUGUCUGAAUAAUGAAUGAAUUGACACAAAGGUUAAAAGGCAAUGAGAGGCAUUAUCAAGAAGUAGUUAGCAGUGGUUUACAAAACAAAUUUGAUGGGUUGCAUUUUGGCUUGCCAGAUGUUUCUGCAGUAAAGAUGACAGAUGCAUCUCUAGAAUUCAGUGUGAUAGCAACUGAAAAAAACAAACAGUAUUUCAUUAUAUACAAACCAUUCCCCGUUUGGUGCUAUCUGGCAGCUUGAAGCCAAGGGUUUAUGUACUCUGCUUUUAAAAGCCCUUAUUGAGUAUUGAGUGUGCUAGGUGCCACACAAGAUAAUUUUUUAAAAGCAGUUUCUUAACUCUUCUCCCAUCUCCCCACUAAAUGAUCCUCCCCUUAUCCUCAAAAUAAAAUGUGCAUCUGUAUCAUUGUCUGCCAACUUCUCUUUAAGGAAAGUUUCAGAAAAACUGUUCCAUUUUAUUAAGCAAAUAUUUUUGAUUGGUGGCCCAUGCCACGGAUUUUAAAUGUUUUAAGGUAUAAAGUUUCUAUCCUGUCUGCUGCCCACUGUAGAUUCAUCCUUUGAGGACAAGCAGUGAUAUUCAGUUAGAGACAACAUUCCUAGAGUUAUUUAAAAUUCUGGGAGGGGAUUUUGGACUGACAUAAUGACUGGAGAAUGCCACCAGGCCUGCCUCAGUCCUCCAGCUUUUUCAUUGUAUGUAAUGAGGGGUCCUACCCAUACUUAGAAAAGGAUUACAAGUGCUAUAGAACAAUGAAGGAUGAAAGUUCUCAUGCUGAAAUUCCCUGUUCUUCCCCCUCUCAAUAUAAGUACAUUAAAAUCGAAGCCUGAUGAUUUGGAAAGACUAAAGGCAUAUUAUCAGCCACUUCCUAUGUUGGGUAGAGAGAUCUGUGUUGGAAGUCCCUGCUCUCAUGUGCACUUUUUGUGUGUUUUAACUUAGUCAUAUAGUGUUAAACAGAAAUUCUCUUCAAGAAGUGAGUUUAGCAUUUGCUUAAAGAUUGGCUCUGGGAACUUGCCAAGGUUUUCUACAAAUGUUUUACAACCAGCAAAGGCACCCUCUGAGUCCUUCCAUCUUCUCUUCAAGUCAUUCAGUCAUGACUUCCUAGAGCCAGUGCUGCUUCAGGGCCCAGCCCCCUCCAACAGGGAGUGGAUGCCAGCACUGGUAUGCAGCUGCUGUAGCGAACCAUGAAAGCAAUUUACUAGUUCUCCUUCCGGGGCCCUUUAAACUAAUAUGCACGAGCUGUGAACUAGCAGAACACUGUAUAGCUGGAGUCUCUACCUUGGAGGGAGACUUCAAAGGAUCCACACACCCGUGUUCUGCUAGCAUAUUAGGAAAGUGUGAUACUUCAAUCCCUGAGCAUCAAGUAGUGUGCCUGGCUGUCAAGCUGAAAUUAUUUAUGAGUGCCACCUGUCCCUAUGGGGAACAUGAUAGGUUGUACUAACCACAGAUUUGCUGUAGCACUUCAUGGCUCAGGAGAAUAUAAUGGUCUUAGUAAAUAUGAAAUGAAAAUAAAAUCACAACCUGAGGAUGCUGUUGACAUAAACCCCAUUUUUAAAAUAACAGCAACUGACAGAGAUCUUUCUGUGGACCAGGCAUUGUCGCAGGUAUUUGUGUACUGAAUCAUUUAACCACGUUCCCAGGACACAGGCAUUAGUAUGAAAGCCUUCUUUAUAGAUAUGGAGACUGGAGCCUAGUGAGGUUUAGUAAUUUCCACAAGUCUACAGAGCCAGGGUAAACUAGCUAUCUACAGCAUCUGUUUUAUUCAUUCACACGGUUGAGAUAAUGGUGGUACCUCCAUUGUAUUCUUUAGCUGAGUUUUUUAACAACUGUUGAUUUUUUGAUGGCCUAUUCUCUUCUACAGAAAGUAUAACCGGUUUUAAUCUGCAAGAAUGUAAUGAUUUCCAAAUAGUUAAUAAAUAUGAAAAUUAUUCCAAAAAAUAAGAUGUAUGCUGAUGUACUAGCAUUCUUAAAAAUGAUGCAGACACCUUUGAAAGGGACAGAAGAAAGGAAUAAAGUCCCUGAGAUAUAUGAUGACCCUGAACUAAAGAAUUGUGUACAGACACCUCAGCAUUAACAACAUCCCAGGGUGCUUAAAGAGUCUGUUAAUAACUAAAAAGCAUAAUGCGUAGGAUAUGCAUGUAAGAGACUAUUCCAAAUAGUAGUAAUACAUCACUGAAGAAAAGAAUUAGAGCUGGCAGCUUCUCAGCAUCAUUAUAGUCCUAAUUUAGACAUGUUAAUGAGCAGUAUUUAAUGUGAAGAACAAGUCAUUAACGUGAAGAAUAAAUUCUCUAAAAUUUUGCCUAAGUGAUAACUAAUGAUAAAAACUUACUUUUUAAAAAUAAAAGCAAGCUGGGCGUGGUGGGACAUGCAUUUAAUCUCAGCACUCGGGAGGCAGAGGCAAGCAGAUUUCUGAGUUCGAGGCCAGCCUGGUCUACAAAGUGAGUUCCAGGACAGCCACGGCUACACAGAGAAGCCCCAUCUUGAAAAAACAAACAAACAAACAAGCAAGCAAAUAAAUAAAUAAAUAAAUAAAUAAAUAAAUAGAAGCAAAAGAGUGAGAGACAUCCGUGGCUCAUUCCUCAUGGGGACGCAGGCAAGUGACAAAGCCGUAAUGGUCGUCUGCGCUAUGUUCCCUUCUGUCUCUUUUGUGCAGUCCAUGCACGUUGCAGCACCUUCCAGACAGCAGAAGAUUAGAACAGAAGACGAGCAGGGCGGAUUGUCAGAACUCUACUCAGAGUUUAGAGGCUGGAGUGGGAGGCUGCUGUGAGCACAUUCAAUGAGAAUCUUGUCCCAAAUCAGCAUGCCACCUCCUCUGUGGACUCUGUCAGUAGUAACUCGGCCACCCACCAGGGAGCUUCCUGCUGCAUUUCAAACCCUUCUAGCAUCUCCAGAACCUCCAGGACACUCUGGCAAGAUGCACUCCGGCAGGCACCAAAGGUGAGAGGAUAAGGGACCAAGAGGCUGUUAUCAGCUUCCCUCUGACCUGAGCAAGUUGGCUGGUGCUUUGCUUCCUCUUAGGUGAGAUAGUUUCCAUCUCUAAUAACUUAUAGUCUUUUGAAUAUAACAGACUUACAAGCACAUUGGAAUGUAACAGACUUACAAACACAUCGAACUCCUUUGCAGUCUGGAUCAUCUACCCAAAAUCUUGCUUUAUUUCCUCAUCAACAAGAACCAAGAGUUCAGCUACUCUAGCCUCAGGUAUAAGGAACUGCUUAACCUCGCUGGGCUCCAGCCACAUGUCCCUAAGGCACUCAUGAUUCAAGCCCAGACUUAAUGAAGGAAACUGUUUCCUUUAUCAUUUGGUCUGCUUUGUUUUGUUUCAUUUUCUUUUAUUUUUAUUUUAUAUUGUUUUGUCCUAAACUAUACAAAGCCAUGUAGAUGUAGGCUCCUAGACUAAGGAGUUGGUAUAGUCCUGUAAAUCCUUCACAUUUAAAGAAGUGUCUCUAGAAAGUACAUGACAGAGUUCAGAUUAACUGUCUCUAACGACAGUAUGGUGGGUCUCAGCAUGUCUGAGCUUAUGCUUCGUUUGGUUGAUUCAUAAUGACAGUUUCAAAGCCUCUCAUUAAGCUGCUAAACAACAGAUAUUCUUGCUCCCGCUAAAGCAUAAUGGCGCUCAUAGUUCUCUGUAUUAGCUAAAUGAAUGCCUUUAUUUUAGGGAGAGGCAUGGCCAUAACUGAGAAAAUCCUGCUUCCAGGCUUCCAGAAGAAAGACAGUGAGUGAGAAGGAUAGUUGUGCUUAAGCCAGCCAGGCUGGGCUUGACCCGAUCUGUGUCAGCUCCUUGAAAAGUUCAGUGGUAGCCCUCUAUCGGCUUUGGUAUACUGUCUGCGUGAGCAGAGUUGAGUGAGAGAAGAAAGGUCAGAAAGAGAAAAAAAAGUUCAAAGGAAAAAGUGAAAACUGACUGGACCAGAAUAAAGCACCCUAAUCGUCCCUGUGGCAUUUUCCCGACACUGUGACUUGCCAAACCAAAGUCCCUAAAAGUGGAACUUAGGCACUAACUGUAAACGAUAAAAGGUUUGAACAGAUAUUGAAUACCUAUUCAUACCCAGCGUGUGCUUUAUAGACAUUGUUUAAUUACCUCACAAAAAUCUUUCUGAAAUAAGAUCUAAAUUGACCUCAAUUUUUAUAUUUUUAAAGUUAC
rnacentral:lncRNA from 1 species